AUUGAACGCUGGCGGUAUGCCUUACACAUGCAAGUCGAACGGCAGCGCAGUAUUAGCUCUCGCGUACAGGGGCGAACGGGCGAGCAAUUGAUGGGAACGUGCCCAGCUGCUGGGUAUAGCUGGGUGAAGGAGGGAAUCAUACCGUAAUAGCCCUGAGGGCGAAAGCGGGGAAUCUUGGGAUCUUCGGACCUUGCACGAGUCGAUGGCCGAUUAGCUAGUUGGUGGGGUAAAGGCCUACCAAGGCGACGAUCUGUAGCUGGUCUGAGAGGACGACCAGCCACACUGGGACUGAGACACGGCCCAGACUCCUACGGGAGGCAGCAGUGGGGAAUUUUGGACAAUGGGCGAAAGCCUGAUCCAGCAAUGCCGCGUGUGUGAUGAAGGCCUUCGGGUUGUAAAGCACUUUUGUCGGGAACGAAAAGGACUAUGUCAAUACCACGGUUCGAUGACGGUACCCACAGAAUAAGCACCGGCUAACUUCGUG
rnacentral:rRNA from 1 species